rnacentral:rRNA from 1 species
AGUCAAGUAAUUAAGUGCAUGUGGUGGAUGCCUUGGCAGUCAGAGGCGAUGAAAGACGUGAUAGCCUGCGAAAAGCUCCGGGGAGGCGGCAAAUAUCCUUUGAUCCGGAGAUGUCUGAAUGGGGGAACCCACCUACUUUAAGGUAGGUAUUGCAACAUGAAUACAUAGUGUUGCAAGGCGAACGAGGGGAAGUGAAACAUCUCAGUACCCUUAGGAAAAGAAAUCAAUUGAGAUUCCCUCAGUAGCGGCGAGCGAACGGGGAUCAGCCCAUUAAGUUAUGUGUGUUUUAGUGGAACGCUCUGGGAAGUGCGAACGUAGAGGGUGAUAUUCCCGUACACGAAAAGGCACACAUAAUGAUGACGAGUAGGGCGAGGCACGUGAAACCUUGUCUGAAUAUGGGGGGACCAUCCUCCAAGGCUAAAUACUCCUGACUGACCGAUAGUGAACCAGUACCGUGAGGGAAAGGCGAAAAGAACCCCUGUGAGGGGAGUGAAAUAGAUCCUGAAACCGCAUGCAUACAAGCAGUGGGAGCACCUUCGUGGUGUGACUGCGUACCUUUUGUAUAAUGGGUCAGCGACUUAUAUUCAGUAGCGAGGUUAACCGUAUAGGGGAGCCGUAGAGAAAUCGAGUCUUAAUAGGGCGUUUAGUUGCUGGGUAUAGACCCGAAACCAGGCGAUCUAUCCAUGAGCAGGUUGAAGGUUGGGUAACACUAACUGGAGGACCGAACCCACUGUCGUUGAAAAGCCAGGGGAUGACUUGUGGAUAGGGGUGAAAGGCUAAUCAAGCCUGGUGAUAGCUGGUUCUCCCCGAAAGCUAUUUAGGUAGCGCCUCGGACGAAUACCAUAGGGGGUAGAGCACUGUUUCGGCUAGGGGGUCAUCCCGACUUACCAAACCGAUGCAAACUCCGAAUACCUAUGAGUACUAUCCGGGAGACAGACUGCGGGUGCUAACGUCCGUAGUCAAGAGGAAAACAAUCCAGACCGCCAGCUAAGGCCCCAAAAUCAUAGUUAAGUGGGAAACGAUGUGGGAAGGCAUAGACAGCUAGGAGGUUGGCUUAGAAGCAGCCACCCUUUAAAGAAAGCGUAAUAGCUCACUAGUCGAGUCGGCCUGCGCGGAAGAUGUAACGGGGCUAAAACUAUGUGCCGAAGCUGCGGAUGUAUACUUUGUAUACGUGGUAGGGGAGCGUUCUGUAAGCCGAUGAAGGUGUGUUGAGAAGCAUGCUGGAGGUAUCAGAAGUGCGAAUGCUGACGUGAGUAACGACAAAACGGGUGAAAAACCCGUUCGCCGAAAGACCAAGGGUUCCAGUCCAACGUUAAUCGGGGCUGGGUGAGUCGACCCCUAAGGCGAGGCCGAAAGGCGUAGUCGAUGGGAAAAUGGUUAAUAUUCCAUUACUUCUGUGUAAUGCGAUGAGAGGACGGAGAAGGCUAAAUCAGCCUGGCGUUGGUUGUCCAGGUGAAAGGAUGUAGGCAUGUAUCUUAGGCAAAUCCGGGGUACUCUAUGCUGAGAUCUGAUAGCAAGCUGUACUUGUACAGCGAAGUGGUUGAUGCCAUGCUUCCAGGAAAAGUCUCUAAGCUUCAGUUACACAGGAAUCGUACCCGAAACCGACACAGGUGGUCAGGUCGAGUAGACCAAGGCGCUUGAGAGAACUCUGCUGAAGGAACUAGGCAAAAUGGUACCGUAACUUCGGGAGAAGGUACGCUGUUGUUGGUGAUGGAACUCGCUUCCUGAGCUGACGACAGCCGCAGAAACCAGGCCGCUGCAACUGUUUAUUAAAAACAUAGCACUCUGCAAACACGAAAGUGGACGUAUAGGGUGUGAUGCCUGCCCGGUGCUGGAAGGUUAAUUGAUGGGGUUAGCGUAAGCGAAGCUCUUGAUCGAAGCCCCAGUAAACGGCGGCCGUAACUAUAACGGUCCUAAGGUAGCGAAAUUCCUUGUCGGGUAAGUUCCGACCUGCACGAAUGGCAUAAUGAUGGCGGCGCUGUCUCCAGCAGAGGCUCAGUGAAAUCGAAAUCGCUGUGAAGAUGCAGUGUACCCGCGGCUAGACGGAAAGACCCCGUGAACCUUUACUGCAGCUUGACACUGAACUUUGACCUUACUUGUGUAGGAUAGGUGGGAGGCUUUGAAGCUGGAACGCUAGUUCCAGUGGAGCCGUCCUUGAAAUACCACCCUGGUAAUGUUGAGGUUCUAACUCUGUCCCGUGAUCCGGGACGAGGACCGUGUCUGGUGGGUAGUUUGACUGGGGCGGUCUCCUCCUAAAGAGUAACGGAGGAGUACGAAGGUGCGCUCAGCGUGGUCGGAAAUCACGCGUAGAGUAUAAAGGCAAAAGCGCGCUUAACUGCGAGACCCACAAGUCGAGCAGGUACGAAAGUAGGUCUUAGUGAUCCGGUGGUUCUGUAUGGAAGGGCCAUCGCUCAACGGAUAAAAGGUACUCUGGGGAUAACAGGCUGAUACCGCCCAAGAGUUCAUAUCGACGGCGGUGUUUGGCACCUCGAUGUCGGCUCAUCUCAUCCUGGGGCUGAAGCAGGUCCCAAGGGUAUGGCUGUUCGCCAUUUAAAGAGGUACGCGAGCUGGGUUUAGAACGUCGUGAGACAGUUCGGUCCCUAUCUACCGUGGGCGCUGGAAAUUUGAGAGGAUCUGCUCCUAGUACGAGAGGACCAGAGUGGACGAACCUCUGGUGUACCGGUUGUGACGCCAGUCGCAUCGCCGGGUAGCUAUGUUCGGAAGGGAUAACCGCUGAAAGCAUCUAAGCGGGAAGCCUACCUCAAGAUAAGAUUUCCCUAGGACUUUAUGUCCUCUAAAGAGCCGUUCGAGACUAGGACGUUGAUAGGUUGGAUGUGGAAGCAUAGUGAUAUGUGAAGCUGACCAAUACUAAUUGCUCGUGAGGCUUGACUAU